GACGAACGCUGGCGGCGUGCUUAACACAUGCAAGUCGAACGGAAAGGCCCUGCUUGUUUGGGGUGCUCGAGUGGCGAACGGGUGAGUAACACGUGAGUAACCUGCUCUUGACUUUGGGAUAACUUCAGGAAACUGGGGCUAAUACCGUAUAGGAGCUCCUGCUGCAUGGAGGGGGUUGGAAAGUUUCGGCGGUCGGGGAUGGACGGGCGGCUUAUCAGCUUGUUGGUGGGCGAGUGGCUUACCAAGGCUUUGACGGAUAGGCGGCCUGUGUGGGUGAACGGCCACAUGGGGACUGCGGUACGGCGCAGAGUCCAACGGGGGGCAGCAGUGGGGAAUAUUGCACAAUGGGCGCGAGUCUGAUGCAGCGGCGCCGCGUGCGGGAUGACGGCCUUCGGGUUGUGAACCGCUUUAGCCUGUGACGAAGCGUGAGUGACGGUAAUGGGUAAAGAAGCACCGGCUAACUACGUG
rnacentral:rRNA from 1 species